AUGGUAGUGUGUGCCUGUAAUCCCAGCUACUCAGGAGGCUGAGGCAGGAGAAUUGCCUGAACCCAGGAGGCGGAGGUUGCGGUGAGCCAAGAUCACGCCAUUGCACUCCAGCCUGGGUAACAAGAGCGAAACUCCAUCUCAAAAAAAAAAAAAAGACACAAGAAAGGGAAGGGAUAAUCAAGGAAGGCAAGUCCUUGAGGAGGUGAGAGGAGAUGAUGUCAGGGACAUGGGUGGAUGCAGAAAGAGAAAGAUUCAUCUCAAAGUCAAUGAAGCCAAAGCCUUGGGGCUCCUCACUUGCAUGGGCCUAACUUUCAACCCCCCGAGUUACGUAGGUUUUAGGCUUCCACAAAAUACGGUUCUGUCCCUGUGUAGAGGGACUGACCUUGACAGAAAGAGAGAUGCCUCAGUGCUUCUCAGAACUUGAGCGCUGACAGUAAAGUAAAGCAACCCCCAAAAGUGUAACUGACAGAGAAAUAUAACAGAGGAAUCCUGGGCAUUGGUGUCCCUCGGUUUGAGAACCACUGAUCUGCUUGAGACAUUCACACACCUGAUUGGGAACAAUGAGAUCUGAGGUCUAUGUCUGGCUUUACCUGUACCAUGUAAGGGACUGCUUCCUGGGCAAGCAGCCUAUACAGGGCCAGAGUUCCCAUGCUUGGUUUAGUGCUUUGCCGUCACUGUCUUGAAAUUCCUUGUAGUAAUUGAACAAAGAGUCCCACAAUUUCCUUUCGUGAAUGAAAAUUCUAUAAACGAGCCCUAUAAAUUCUGUAAUUUGCCCUGGUCAAACAUUGAUUUAGUAGCCUUAUUUUGUGACCUUGGGCAAGAUAUUUGACUUAAAAAAAAAAAAUUGAGCUGCCCGGGUACAGAGGCUCACAUCUAUAAUCCCAGCACUCUGGGAGGCCAAUGCGAGUGGAUUUUCUGAGGUCAGGAGUUCGAGACCAGCCUAGCCAACGUGGUGAAACCCCAUCUCUAUUAAAAAUACAAAAACUUAGCCAAGCAUGGUGGUGUGAGCCUAUAAUCCCAGCUACUUGGUAGGCUGAGGAAAAAGAAUCGCUUGAAUCCAGGAGGCAGAAGUUGCAGUGAUCUGAGAUCACACCAUUUCACUCUAGCCUGAGCGACAGAGAAAGACUGUCUCAAAAAAAAAAAAAAAAAGCUAUGUCUGGGUGUGGUGGCUCACCCCUGUAAUCCCAGGACUUUGGAAGGCCAAGUCAGGAGGAUCACUUGAGCCCAGGAGUUUGAGAUCAGUUUGAGCAACAGAGGAGACCGCCUUUCUAAUUUAGCCGAGCACAGCGACACAUGCUUAUGGUGCCAGCUACUUAGGAGACUGAGGUGGGAGGAUAACUUGAGCCUGGGAGGUCAAGGCUGCAGUGAGCUGUAAUUAUGCCACUUCACUCUAAUCUGGGCAACAGAGCAAGAGACCCUGUCUCAAAAAAAAAAAAAAAAAAAUGGAGUGAUAAUUAACAUACCCUAAAUACUUGAGUUAUUUGUGCCUCAGUUUCCUCAUCUUCAAGAAGCCAUAAUAAAUAUCCCCUCCCAGGGAGGUAGUGUGACAAUGAAUGCAAGUUGUCAAUGAAAGACAAUGAAAGUUCUGUGAGCUUCUCUAAUGACGUGUUUUUUUUUUUCCAUGAGGCGAGUGCUCACAUGUGUUGCAUACCCCUGCUUAUCAUUCCUGGGCUUCUUGCAGCUGCUGAUGAGGCUUUCUAUUUUUAACCCACUCUGACAUGCUUUUUUUCUUCCUUUUAACACCCAACAACCUUUGCCAAAUGAGACCUAAAUACAUGGAUCACAUCAUAUUCUUUCCCAAGCUGUCUCUGCUCGCUGGGGUUUGAGUCUCUCAGUGAUUCCCCUAUACAGAAGGCAGACCUGACACAAAUUCAAGACAGGAAAGGGCAAGAUAUUGAAGCCUUCAAAAUCUUCUUUGGAGAAAGACACAGACCACAGACUGUUUCUGCAAUUCCAUGUUAUGUUCUUUUGGGCAUGUCCUUAAUCUUGGCAAAAUAAACUUCGAAAUUGAUUGAGA